rnacentral:tRNA from 1 species
GGCAUGUUCGUAUAGGGGUUAGUACGUAACCUUCACACGGUUAAAACGCCGGUUCGAGUCCGGCACAAGCCA